GUGCCCGCUUCGGCAGCACAGAUACUAAAAAUUAGAACGAUACAGAGAAGAUUUGCAUGGCCCCUGUGCAAGGACGACACGCAAAUUCGUGAAGCAUUCCAUAUUUUU
rnacentral:snRNA from 1 species